UGGCUCACGCCUGUAAUCCCAACACUUUGGGAGGCUGAGGCGGGCGGAUCACUUGAGGUCAAGAGUUCAAGACCAGCCUGGCCAACAUGAUUCUACUCUAAAAGUCACCAGGAAAAAUUCAGCUCCACUGGUCCUGGCUCUAAGUCUACUAGCAAAAUCUUCCAGAGAAGUGGAAAAGCCAUCAGCCAAUGUGUUAGACUAUCAUUUCCAUGACCUUACACCUAUCAAAAAGGCACUAUUACCAGGCUUAUAGAAUUCUAAAAAAGUUGGAAACCAUUUUCCAUUAUAAAAGAAAUUCUUCCAAAUCACACAAAACACUCUGACACUUCUCCAAUUCCCCCUAUCAUGGGGCUGGCAGCAGCCGCUUUGCGUCCUGAAUGUCAUGACAGUGAUGAUAACAGUAAUGAUGAUAACAGCAAUGAUGAAGUCUCACAUUUAAAAUUUUCAAGUCACUCAUCACAUCCCAAGUCACUCCCUUCAUUACCUUUUAUUUAUACUGGAGUCAUCCUGUGUGCCUCAGUCAGACCAUUUUGUAUGUACAAUGACCGACAAUGAGAUUUAACAUGCAGUUUGCAGAUCCUCCCUUCUCUGGGUCACCUGAAAAUAAGCCACAAACAAAGGAAUGAAAUUGUUGAUGAAAAGGGAAGAGGCAAGACUCCAUAUGAAGAAUACAACUGACUCACCUGUCUGUACAUGCCUCUGUGUGUGUGUUUUAUAUUGGUGCUGGUGAAGAUAGUUCUUUAUGCUGAUGCUUAAUAAGGUGAAAUGUGUCUAUUUUCUUCCAUUGGCCCAGGCACAGAUGCGAUUAUAAUUGCUAAGAUUAUUUGCAUAUUGGCUUUUAAUGAUGCAUUUAAAAAUAUUCAUCCCAUUUACUGACUUAUGCAGGCAAUGUACUUUUGUAAAUGUGGGCCAGCAUCAUGCUUAAAUUCCCAAACCACUAUUUAUUUAAAACUCAUCACUUCAGUUUUUAUACCCUUUCUCCCCCAUAAGGGAAAAAAUAUGAUUCUGACUGUAUAAGCACCAACUAAACAGAACACAAAACAUGGCAGACGAUAAAAACAUAUUUUCACAAAUGAGACAUGUCAUUUUACCAUCGAGGAGAGAAACAAAAUAAGCUGGUUUUCAAGUUCCAUAUCUUGUGUGCUCCUUUCAGCUAAAUGCCCUUACAUCUGUAAGCCCUUGGGACAGGUUAAGGCUUUUAUUAUUAUUUUAAAGUCUUCAUAACUACAACCUAGCAUCCAAAGUGAAACAGAUGCUAUUGGAUAUGAGUAGCAUAUGCAAUGGAAAUAUUGACAUUGCCUUCCCGACAGUCAUGAGGGAUAGACCAUAGGCUUUUUGGUAACCUAUAUUUUCUAGGCCCAAAGCAGGGAAUGAGAUGGCAGGGAAAUUCAGGGUAAACUCCAAAUUUACAUAAAGUUAUAGAAGAAUAUAGAUCAUGAGUAGUGGCUAGCACCUUCCUGACUUCCAGAAAAUGGUGGUGCCGAUAUUGAACAACAGUUUGGAGAAAAUGUAAAAUGUUUACAUUUACAUUUACAGUUUAGUCUUUGAACAACAGUUUGGAGAAAAUGUAAAAUGAAAAUUUGUUAACGAACUUGUUUUUAAAAAGCACCUAGACUCCAUAUAAGAGUACUUGUCCUAUGUUAUUUUCAUAAACUACAUUUGUGAUUGU